AAUUUAAUUAAUUUAUAAAAUAAAAUUAAUUAUUUUAUAUAAUUUAUAUAAAAAUUUUAAAUUUAAAUAUUUUUUUAAUUAAUUUUUAAUAUUAAUAUUUAAAUUAAAAAUUUAUUUAGUAAUAUAAUUUAAUUAAAAUAAAAAUUGUGCCAGCAAUUGCGGUUAUUCAAUUUUAAUUAAUUAAUUUUUAUAAAUAAAAAUAAUCAUAAUUUUAAAAUAUAAUAUAAUUUUAUUUUAGUAAAAUAAUUAAUUUUAAAAUAUUUUAAUAUUUAAAUUUUAACUUAUUUAAUUAAUAAACUAGGAUUAGAUACCCUAUUAUUAUAAAUAAUUAUAAUUAAAAUUUAAUUAUUAAUUGAAAACCAUUAAAGUAAUUAAUUUGACGGUAUUUUUAUUCAAUUUAAAGAAAUUUAAUUAUUAAUUGAUAAUACACAAUAAAAAAAACUUAAUUUUAUCUUAAAUACUUCUGUUAAGAAAUAUUUAAAAAAUUUAUUUCUAAAAUUUUAUUUAUAAAAUAAUUUCAAGUCAAAAUUUAGAAUAUAAUUAAGAUUAAUAGAAUUUCAAUAAUUUUAAAUAAUUUAUAUUUAAUUAUUAAAUAAAAAUUUAGAAUUUAAAAUUAAAUUUUUAAUAGUAUAAAAAUUAAAUUUAUUGAUUUAAAAUAGGUACAUAUCGCCCGUCAUUUUCUAUUGAAAAAAGUCGUAACAAAGUAAAUAUAUUGGAAAAUAUAUUUAGAAUAUU
rnacentral:rRNA from 1 species